CAGAGGGUAGUUUAUGAAAAUAUUAGUUUUGGGGACUAAAGAUAGGGCUUUAGCUUUACCUCUGA
rnacentral:tRNA from 1 species